AUGGGCUCCAGGCUGCUCUGCUGUGUGGCCCUCUGCCUCCUGGGAGCAGGCCCCUUGCUCUCAGGUGUUUCCCAGACUCCAAAAUAUCUCCUCGCCCAGGCUGGAAAAAAGCAAUCCUUUAAAUGUGAGCAAAAUCUGGGCCAUGAUACAAUGUACUGGUAUAAGCAGGACUCCAAGCAAUCACUGAAGAUGAUGUUUAGCUACUAUAAUAAGGAAAUGACUGCAAAUGAAACGGUUCCAAGUCGUUUCUCACCUGAAUCUCCAGACAAAGAUCAUUUAAACCUUCAUGUCAAGUCCCUGGAGCCAGAGGAUUCUGCCUUGUAUCUCUGUGCCAGCAGCCAAGGCACAGCCCUGCAGAGUCACCAGCUGCCUGUGCACAAACCUGCCAGGCAGCCAGGAAGCUGUGGUGACAAUGAGUUCCCUGUGCCUGAGGCUCURCUCUCCAUUCUGUGGGUCCCGUGGAGGGUCAGUGUGCAGCAGCCUCCAGGGUGA